rnacentral:rRNA from 1 species
GAUGAACGCUGGCGGCGUGCCUAAUACAUGCAAGUCGAGCGAACAGACGAGGAGCUUGCUCCUUCGACGUUAGCGGCGGACGGGUGAGUAACACGUAGGUAACCUACCUAUAAGACUGGGAUAACUUCGGGAAACCGGAGCUCAUACCGGAUAAUAUUUCGAACCGCAUGGUUCGAUAGUGAAAGAUGGCAUUGCUAUCACUUAUAGAUGGACCUGCGCCGUAUUAGCUAGUUGGUAAGGUAACGGCUUACCAAGGCAACGAUACGUAGCCGACCUGAGAGGGUGAUCGGCCACACUGGAACGGAGACACGGUCCAGACUCCUACGGGAGGCAGCAGUAGGGAAUCUUCCGCAAGGGGCGAAAGCCUGACGGAGCAACGCCGCGUGAGUGAUGAAGGUCUUCGGAUCGUAAAACUCUGUUAUUAGGGAAGAACAAACGUGUAAGUAAAUGUGCAGGUCUUGACGGUACCUAAACAGAAAGCCACGGCUAACUACGUG